GAUGAACGCUGGCGGCGUGCCUAAUACAUGCAAGUCGAGCGAACGGACGAGAAGCUUGCUUCUCUGAUGUUAGCGGCGGACGGGUGAGUAACACGUGGAUAACCUACCUAUAAGACUGGGAUAACUUCGGGAAACCGGAGCUAAUACCGGAUAAUAUUUUGAACCGCAUGGUUCAAAAGUGAAAGACGGUCUUGCUGUCACUUAUAGAUGGAUCCGCGCUGCAUUAGCUAGUUGGUAAGGUAACGGCUUACCAAGGCAACGAUGCAUAGCCGACCUGAGAGGGGGAUAGGCCACACGGGAACUGAGACACGGUCCGGACGCCUACGGGAGGGAGCAGUAGGGAAUCGUCCGCAAUGGGCGAAAGCCUGACGGAGCAACGCCGCGUGAGUGAUGAAGGUGUUCGGAGCGUAAAACUGUGUUAUUAGGGAAGAACAUAUGUGUAAGUAACUGUGCACAUCUUGACGGUACCUAAUCAGAAAGCCACGGCUAACUACGUG
rnacentral:rRNA from 1 species